AAAAGGCUUAAAGUUUCACAUAAUUAAGCAGAGUGAAUACAUGCUAGAGAUGUGCUGUACAAUGCUGUACCUGUAAUCAAUGAUAACGUACUGUACACUUAAAAUGUACUUAGAAGGUAGACUGCAAGUUCAGUGCUAAUACAAUAAUUAAAGAAA